rnacentral:rRNA from 1 species
AGUGAACGCUGGCGGCGUGCCUAAUACAUGCAAGUCGAACGAUGAAGUCCUAGCUUGCUAGGAUGGAUUAGUGGCGCACGGGUGAGUAAUAUAUAGUUAAUCUGCCCUACACAGAGGAACAACAGUUGGAAACGACUGCUAAUACCUCAUACUCCUAUUUGACAUAAGUUAAAUAGGGAAAGUCUUUUCGGUGUAGGAUGAGACUAUAUCGUAUCAGCUAGUUGGUAAGGUAAUGGCUUACCAAGGCUAUGACGCGUAACUGGUCUGAGAGGAUGAUCAGUCACAUAGGAACUGAGACACGGUCCAAACUCCUACGGGAGGCAGCAGUAAGGAAUAUUGCGCAAUGGGGGAAACCCUGACGCAGCAACGCCGCGUGGAGGAUGACACUUUUCGGAGCGUAAACUCCUUUUAUCAGGAAAGAAUAAUGACGGUACCUGAUGAAUAAGCACCGGCUAACUCCGUG